rnacentral:rRNA from 1 species
UUCCCAAACCGUGUAUACAUACCUUUGUUGCUUUGGCAGGCCGCCUUUUAGGCGUCGGCUUCGGUUGACUGCGCCUGCCAGAGGACCCAAACUCGUUUGUUUAGUGAUGUCUGAGUACUAUAUAAUAGUUAAAACUUUCAACAACGGAUCUCUUGGUUCUGGCAUCGAUGAAGAACGCAGCGAAAUGCGAUAAGUAAUGUGAAUUGCAGAAUUCAGUGAAUCAUCGAAUCUUUGAACGCACAUUGCGCCCCUUGGUAUUCCGAGGGGCAUGCCUGUUCGAGCGUCAUUAUAACCACUCAAGCCUCGGCUUGGUCUUGGGGUUCCGCGGUCUCGCGGCCCUUAAAAUCAGUGGCGGUGCCAUCUGGCUCUAAGCGUAGUAAUUUCUCUCGCUAUAGGGUCCCGGUGGUCUCCUGCCAGAACCCCCCAUUUUUUACGGUUGACCUCGGAUCAGGUAGG